ensembl:rRNA 5S_rRNA 5S ribosomal RNA
GUCUACAGCCACACCACCCCGAACACACCCGAUUUCGGCUGAUCUCAGAAGCUAAGCAGGGUGGGGCCUGGUUAGUACUUGGAUGGGGGACAUCUGGGAAUAACGGAUGCUUUUAAAA